UGGAACGCUACCCCGGAGAUUGUCCUCU
rnacentral:piRNA from 1 species